CUGUUUCAUGUACUACUGUCACGAUAUAGCGACCGUUUUAUAAAAACAACUUUUUUUAAUCAUAUUUGCUCCAAUCUCACCUACUUCAACUUUAUUGCCAUGUUUGUUUUACAUCUUUUAUAUAUUACGUACACUGAGGGUUAGGAGCACUCCCCCCAGCCUGAUCUCACAGAAAUACGUGUUAAUGACUACAACCUUGCUUUACAUUGUGGUGGUGGCACGUAAUGUUUUAAAAUUACGUACCGGUCCCACAUUAAUAAUGCAUAUGAAAAUCCAAUUAGGAUUCUUUGUUGUGGAGGACACACAAAUUCCCAGGUUCAACAGAAAUACGUUUUAAUCAAAGUCCACCUAGGGAUGAGGUUGGGGUGGAUGGACGGGUCAAACAUAACAUUUUCACCCAGGAGAAAAGUGUUCGUGUCCAGUGUGAAACCAAAAGCUAACAUUGACUUAUUUUAAAUUAUGUAGGCUACGUAAGUUACGUAACCUUUUUUCCUUUAUUUCCUAAACCUAACAAAGUACAGUGGAAACAGCUUAUAGUGGUCGCAUAUCUCCUGGUCAAAUUGAUCACUAUAAGCGGAUGAUCAUUAUAACCAAAUAUUUGUUGUUGUGCAUCAUUCCUCAUGCAGAUUACCAUCUAAUUAACAUUUGUAUAUUUAUUACAUGAAUACAAAUUCAUGAAAUAAACCGCUUUGCUAUUUACUGGCUCGUUGCCAGUUCUUCUGCCUUUUGGCCCCUUUGCUGGGGCUCCUCCUUCUCUCACCUAGUAGCGGCAUGGAGGGAGACGGGCACCACUGGUCUGCAUGAGUGCCGCAGAGCCGGUUGAGGAUCGGCAAAGUUUCACUUUGGGGGCAUUACGUGACAUUAUCAAUCCACUUGAAUCAAUCCAAAACAAAACAAAAGUCAAUUAGCGUUAGUCUAUUGUUUUUCAAUAUGUUGUCAUGAAUGGAGACUGAAAAUGAACACUGUGAGCGAACUACUUGAUUUCUAUAAGCGAAUUAUUUAAACAGCAUUUGUAUAGGAAUGAUUCUGUCCCAAGCUUUUUGAUCCCUGUAACCGUGGUCACCAUAAGCGUCUUGGUGAAUAACAAGCUGUAAAAGUGUUUGAUAUUUUCUGUGGUUCUGCAGGAGCUUUGUGAAGUCUGAGAAAAUAACCCGUAUGAUGUCAUAAUGAUGUCAUCAGGGUCACCUCAGCUUGCGCUUGAGACUUUGAGAUUUCUUGAAUAUUCUUGAGACUUUGACAUUUUUAAAAUGAAAUGUUACAAUCCAUGGACCUUGAGUUGACACCUAGCAGGAUGGUCAAAUAAAAGAUGCUACCGAGUUGCAUGGUGGGAAUUGUAGGAUCCAUUAUCUUUGGAGUUUGAACCAAACUCGAGA